rnacentral:rRNA from 1 species
UCAGAGCGAACGCUGGCGGCAGGCCUAACACAUGCAAGUCGAACGAAGUCUUCGGACUUAGUGGCGGACGGGUGAGUAACACGUGGGAACGUGCCUCUAGGUUCGGAAUAACUCAGGGAAACUUGUGCUAAUACCGAAUGUGCCCUUCGGGGGAAAGAUUUAUCGCCUUUAGAGCGGCCCGCGUCUGAUUAGCUAGUUGGUGAGGUAAAGGCUCACCAAGGCGACGAUCAGUAGCUGGUCUGAGAGGAUGAUCAGCCACAUUGGGACUGAGACACGGCCCAAACUCCUACGGGAGGCAGCAGUGGGGAAUCUUGCGCAAUGGGCGAAAGCCUGACGCAGCCAUGCCGCGUGAAUGAUGAAGGUCUUAGGAUUGUAAAAUUCUUUCACCGGGGACGAUAAUGACGGUACCCGGAGAAGAAGCCCCGGCUAACUUCGUGCCAGCAGCCGCGGUAAUACGAAGGGGGCUAGCGUUGCUCGGAAUUACUGGGCGUAAAGGGAGCGUAGGCGGACAUUUAAGUCAGGGGUGAAAUCCCGGGGCUCAACCUCGGAAUUGCCUUUGAUACUGGGUGUCUUGAGUGUGAGAGAAGGUAUGUGGAACUCCGAGUGUAGAGGUGAAAUUCGUAGAUAUUCGGAAGAACACCAGUGGCGAAGGCGACAUACUGGCUCAUUACUGACGCUGAGGCUCGAAAGCGUGGGGAGCAAACAGGAUUAGAUACCCUGGUAGUCCACGCCGUAAACGAUGAUUGCUAG